AUUGAACGCUGGCGGCAUGCUUUACACAUGCAAGUCGAACGGCAGCGGGGUAGUGCUUGCACUACUGCCGGCGAGUGGCGCACGGGUGAGUCAUAUAUCGGAACGUACCGAGUAAUGGGGGAUAACCAAUCGAAAGAUUGGCUAAUACCGCAUACGUCCUGAGGGAGAAAGCGGGGGAUCGCAAGACCUCGCGUUAUUCGAGCGGCCGAUAACUGAUUAGCUAGUUGGUGGGGUAAAGGCCUACCAAGGCGACGAUCAGUAGCGGGUCUGAGAGGACGAUCCGCCACACUGGGACUGAGACACGGCCCAGACUCCUACGGGAGGCAGCAGUGGGGAAUUUUGGACAAUGGGGGCAACCCUGAUCCAGCCAUGCCGCGUGUAUGAAGAAGGCCUUCGGGUUGUAAAGUACUUUUGUUAGGGAAGAAAAGGGAAGUGCUAAUACCACUUUUUGCUGACGGUACCUAAAGAAUAAGCACCGGCUAACUACGUG
rnacentral:rRNA from 1 species